GACGUAGGGUGCGAGCGUUGUCCGGAUUUAUUGGGCGUAAAGAGCUCGUAGGCGGCUCGUCGCGUCGACCGUGAAAACCCGCGGCUUAACUGCGGGCUUGCGGUUGAUACGGGCGGGCUAGAGUUCGGUAGGGGAGACUGGAAUUCCUGGUGUAGCGGUGAAAUGCGCAGAUAUCAGGAGGAACACCGGUGGCGAAGGCGGGUCUCUGGGACGGUACUGACGCUGAGACGCGAAAGCGUGGGGAGCGAACAGG
rnacentral:rRNA from 1 species